rnacentral:rRNA from 1 species
CUUGGGAGCUUGCUCCUGGUGAUCAGUGGCGAACGGGGGAAUAACACGUGAGUAACCUGCCCUUCACUCUGGGAUAACGCUGGGAAACCGGUGCUAAUACUGGAUACGACCUACUCGGGCAUCCGAUGUGGGUGGAAAGAUUUAUUGGUGGGGGAUGGACUCGCGGCCUAUCAGCUUGUUGGUGAGGUAAUGGCUUACCAAGGCGACGACGGGUAGCCGGCCUGAGAGGGCGAUCGGCCACACUGGGACUGAGACACGGCCCAGACUCCUACGGGAGGCAGCAGUGGGGAAUAUUGCACAAUGGGCGAAAGCCUGAUGCAGCGACGCCGCGUGAGGGAUGAAGGCCUUCGGGUUGUAAACCUCUUUCAGCAGGGAAGAAGCGGUCGGGUUUUCUCGGUCGUGACGGUACCUGCAGAAGAAGCACCGGCUAACUACGUGCCAGCAGCCGCGGUAAUACGUAGGGUGCAAGCGUUGUCCGGAAUUAUUGGGCGUAAAGAGCUUGUAGGCGGUUUGUCGCGUCUGCUGUGAAAUUUCGGGGCUCAACCCCGAACUUGCAGUGGGUACGGGCAGACUAGAGUGUGGUAGGGGAGACUGGAAUUCCUGGUGUAGCGGUGAAAUGCGCAGAUAUCAGGAGGAACACCGAUGGCGAAGGCAGGUCUCUGGGCCACUACUGACGCUGAGAAGCGAAAGCAUGGGGAGCGAACAGGAUUAGAUACCCUGGUAGUCCAUGCCGUAAACGUUGGGAACUAGGUGUGGGUCUCAUUCCACGAGAUCCGUGCCGCAGCUAACGCAUUAAGUUCCCCGCCUGGGGAGUACGGCCGCAAGGCUAAAACUC